rnacentral:lncRNA from 1 species
AAGAGUCAAAAGUAAAAAGAGGCAAAAGGCAGAAGGUACAAGCGGAAGAAAAAGGGGUGAUUUGACCCCUACUGUUCAUCGUCUUCCCAAAUUGCUGCCCACGUUGCUAUUCCAGCCGCUGUAGCCUUUCCUCGACGAGUCUUCAACGCCUCCGCCAGCCACGACGAUCCGACGCCCUCUCUGCUUGACACUGCAGCGCCUCCAUCUCCGAGCACCACCGCGAUGUGCAGCUCCCUCUGCCGGACCUCGCCGCAGCAACACCUCCGCGAGCACCACCUGUGAGCGUCA